rnacentral:rRNA from 1 species
AUACGUAGGUGACAAGCGUUAUCCGGAUUUACUGGGCGUAAAGGGCGUGUAGGCGGUCUUGCAAGUCAGAAGUGAAAUUCCUGAGCUCAACUCGGGCGCUGCUUCUGAAACUGCAGGACUUGAGUGCUGGAGGGGAUAGCGGAAUUCCUAGUGGAGCGGUAAAAUGCGCAGAUAUUAGGAAGAACACCGGUGGCGAAGGCGGCUAUCUGGACAGUAACUGACGCUGAGGCGCGAAAGCGUGGGGAGCAAACAGGACUAGAUUCCCUGGUAGUCCACGCGGUAAACGAUGAAUGCUAGGUGUUGCGGGUAUCGACCCCUGCAGUGCCGGAGUCAACACAAUAAGCAUUCCGCCUGGGGAGUACGGCCGCAAGGUUGAAACUCAAAUGAAUUGACGGGG